GAAUAUUUCAUAGAGUUGCAGUUAAUAUGAGUGUCCACUGCUAAUACUAUUUGCAUCCUCUCUUUUUUUUCCUUUCUUUCUUUUGCAUAGAAGUAAUUCUCAUAUCAUAUGUCUCCCUCUAACCGGUUACCAAAUGAAUAAAUGGGUUUAAACUUUAAAAAAAAAUAAAAAAAAUAGAAGAAAUAAAAAGUAAGAUGUGAAAGUAACUGAACGUUAAAAAUCCAAAUUUACCUUCAAUAAUAGAGUUUUACUCUACUAUUAUUAUUCCUCCAUUUUGCAGAUAUAUAAAUCUU
rnacentral:lncRNA from 1 species